GCGGGGGUGCCUGAGCCUGGUCGAAAGGGCAGGACUUAAGAUCCUGUAGCUGUAGAGCUCUCAGGGGUUCGAAUCCCCUCCCCCGCA
rnacentral:tRNA from 1 species